UCCACAGUAGCUCAGUGGUAGAGCGCUCGGCUGUUAACCGAGUUGUCGUAGGUUCGAAUCCUACCUGUGGAGCCA
rnacentral:tRNA from 1 species